CGGCAAAGCUGGGGGCGCAAGACCCACCCCACGCGACUGUUCACGCGCCGCCCGGGCGCCCCCCGUGGUCACAUCCCUGGCAGAGAGAUCUAUUUUUGAAGUCAAGAUGAGGAGGUGGUGAUUUGUGAAGAGUUAAUCUCAAAGGGUUCAACAGUAUAAUAUUGAAUUUAAUAUUGAAUGGAUAAAAAAAUUGUUUAUCUGGAACUUGUCUGAACUUGGUCUUAAAAUCAACUGGAAAUUUCAUUAUAUUGGAUUUUUCCUCACAAAAUUUCCAACAGUACUUCCUGGUUUCACCCAACAUCAAAAUAACUGCACAAGACAACAAGUAAAAGAACACAUGCCAAAUAUAAACAGGGCAACAAAGCAAUGCCAGAUCUGGUUCUCAGAAUAAAACAUUAUGAAAAAUGCUCCUCAGAAGACAAUGACUUUGAAAAUGAUGAUACGGACAUGUCUGAACAAUCUGGAUCAACCGGUUAAAUAGACAACUCAUUUUUGCACCAUUCUUACGGAGUGCCUACCAUGUUUUACUAUUCCAGGUCCAUCUUAGACCUAAGGAGUUAUGGAUGCCCAUCAUCUGCAAUGUCUAUAACGUCAGAUCAUCAACUAGUACCACCAACAGUGCUGCAACUAAACAUACAUCAGAUACUAUAUUACCUGUAUAUAGGUAUAGUGUAAAUCAACGUGUUUUAAUGGUUAAAAUCAAUGGGCAUACACCUUUCUUUAGAAAACUGAAAGUACAAGUGGAGAAGUUGAUUAAAAUUUAUUAUUUAAAUUCAGGUUUUCCACUUGGUGAUUUAAAUUGUCUUGAUUUAAAUCAAUCCAUCCUGUUUGUAAGAGAACUACUUUUUCUUUCAGUUAAUUUUUUUUUAAUUGUAUGGCAUAAGAACAAAUUUCCACUAUUGCUUAAUAUAUUUCAUAUUAAGCCUUCUCUAUUUCCUUCAGUCAAAAUAAGAGGGAUUUUUAAAAAAAGAGCACAAUAUUUUUUGCUGAUGUGGAAUUGGUCUCAUGGUUCAUUUAUUAAAACCAGCUAAAUAUUUAGAAAACCAUUGUAGUCAGAGUACAACAGAUUUGU